GUCCACGCCCUAAACGAUGUCUACUAGUUGUUGGUGGAGUAAAAUCCAUGAGUAACGCAGCUAACGCGUGAAGUAGACCGCCUGGGGGAGUACGGUCGCAAGAUUAAAAACUCAAAUGAAUUGACGGGGGCCCGCACAAGCGGUGGAUUAUGUGGAUUAAUUCGAUGCAACGCGAAAAACCUUACCUGGCCUUGACAUGUACCGAAUUUGGGAGAGAUUCCUUAGUGCUCGAAAGAGAACGGUAACACAGGUGCUGCAUGGCUGUCGU
rnacentral:rRNA from 1 species